rnacentral:rRNA from 1 species
GAUGAACGCUAGCGGCAGGCCUAAUACAUGCAAGUCGAACGGUAAAUCUAGUGCUUGCACUAGAUACGAGUGGCGCACGGGUGCGUAACGCGUAUGCAACCUACCCUUUACUGGGGGAUAGCCCGGAGAAAUUCGGAUUAAUACCCCAUGGUAUUAUUUGAUGGCAUCAGAGAAUAAUUAAAGAUUUAUUGGUAAAGGAUGGGCAUGCGUGACAUUAGUUAGUUGGUGAGGUAAUGGCUCACCAAGACGAUGAUGUCUAGGGGUUCUGAGAGGAUGAUCCCCCACACUGGUACUGAGAUACGGACCAG